rnacentral:rRNA from 1 species
UACGGAAGGGGCAAGCGUUGUUCGGAAUCAUUGGGCGUAAAGGGCGCGUAGGUGGUUCUGUAUGUCUACCGUGAAAGCGUACGGCUCAACCGUAUUUUGUCGGUGGAAACUGCAGGACUUGAGGCUGGGAGGGGCUGGUGGAAUUCCCUGUGUAGCGGUGAAAUGCGCAGAUAUCAGGAGGAACACCGGUGGCGAAGGCGGUUCUCUGGGCAUUACCUGACGCUGAGGAGCGAAAGUGUGGGGAGCGAACAGG